UACGUAGGCAGCAAGCGUUGUUCGGAGUUACUGGGCGUAAAGGGUGUGUAGGCGGUCUACUAAGUCUGGUGUGAAAUCUCCCGGCUCAACUGGGAGGGUGCGCCGGAAACUGGAAGGCUAGAGUGCGGGAUGGGAGAGUGGAAUUCCUGGUGUAGCGGUGAAAUGCGUAGAUAUCAGGAGGAACACCUGUGGUGUAGACGGCUCUCUGGACCGCAACUGACGCUGAGACGCGAAAGCGUGGGGAGCAAACAGG
rnacentral:rRNA from 1 species